GAAAAAUAAACAGGCUAAAUGAUGACGAUGCACAUUGUUAAGCAGACCGUAUGAUUUCAGAGAGGCUCAGGAGGUCAAAGUGAUCUCACUGAUUUAAAUAUAAACAAUAUGCAACAGACCUUUUGUCAAGGUGGACAUUUUGACUUGUCAGACACGGGUGUAACGAACAACAUCCACAGUAUGUUUUCGUUCUAGGGCCCUAGUGUUGUGCAUGCCAGCACAACUAAAUAUAAUGGAGCCAUUGUUCAUGUUUUCAAUAAUCCCUGUGAUCGAGGCUGCAACUAACAAUUAUUUUCAUUAUCUGUUAAUCUGCUGUGUAUUUUCUCAAUUAAUUGAUGAAUCGCUCAUAUAAAAUGUGAGAGAAUUUCAAACACAAAUGCACAAUUUCCUAAAGUUCAAGGUGAUGUCUUCAAAUGACUUGGGUUUUCUCUCUCGGCAACCGUCCGAAACUCCAAAGAUGUUUUAAAACAGAGAAAAUCAGCAAAUUUUCACAUUUGAGGAGAUGGAACGAGAAAAUGUUUGCCAUUAUUGCUUGAAAAAUUAUUUUAACGAUGAAUUGAUGAUCAAAAUAGCUGUCAAGAUUUCUACCUGUUGGUAUGGCAGACACUGAAGUCAAAAUAAAAUGAAAAAUGACUUUCACACUCUCAGUUUCUAUAAUAAUAAUAAAAAAAGAACAGUGUACAGCUCUCAUUUGCUCCCUGGAAACCAGUGUAGGCCUCACUUUCUUAUCUUCACUUUCUAUACAUUAAAACUAAUUAAACAGCCAGAUCCCCCACUGGUUUAUACUUUGAAUUCUCUGCAUCAUGUGUCACCCUAGCAUCACCUUUGCAAAAUCCUCUCAGAAUGCUCAUUUAAAAGGAUUCUGGUUUUAAAAAAACAAAAUAAAAAUCAAGCUACUUCUCUUUGCGUUAAUGCACAGGAGAGGCUAAACAAGCUAAAUACAGUAUCUUCCUGACUGACUAGUGACGCUAGUAUGACCUUGGAACAUGAGCUUGGCUGACUAACCCGUGUACGUGGCCGGGAGGCAUUUUUUAAAUAGCAGCACUCGCACUCGUAUAGUUUCCUCCUCUCUUACUUCUUGACUCUUACUAGGCUUCACUCUAAUUCUGCAUAGUAAAAAUUGUUUUCACUGAAACUCCAGAAGAGUAUACUGUACUAGUUCCCACUGCUGGAUGGUAGUAUUUUUGUUUAUUUGUUUCAAGUGGAGGCAGCUCAGAAGAUCAGGGCUAAAAUGAUGGCUUUACUUGCCAAGUGCUAAUUUGCCAGCCACACAAAAGGUGUAGCUGUAUUAAAGCAGCAUUUUACGUCCAUCUCUGAUUUUUUUUCUCACUAUUCCUUUACCUGCUGAGGAUUAUAUUGAAUAAUUUCAUAAGCCCAGUGACUUGAUCAGUAUACUGACUAACUUAAUGUUUCUACGUGGGUCCAUAAGUGCUCACUCUAAGGAAGCAGAAAACAGUUGCGUCAGAUUUGGGAGAUCAGUCAUGUUAUCAUUCAGUUGAAUGAUAUAAGUUACUGUGCUGCUCAUUGAUUUUGUUUUUAUGCUAUUACAGUACACACUUUAACCCAAGACCAAAUAAAAAUUGAGUGAGUUAAUUAAUAUUCACUUCACUUUCAUUAUAAUUUGCAUAAUGCAAUCGGUGCUUAAUUGCAAGCCUCCUACUGACUGACACAAAACCUGAACUUGCAAGCAGCGUUUAUCCAUAUCGCUGACUCAGGAAACCUCUCCUUAUAUUGCCUAUUAGGCCUAAUUGACACCCAGAUAAUGUGGACUCAUUAAACAUAACCAUCAAUAAUAUUUACUCCCUUAUCCUAUAGCAUGCAUGAAUUAAACACCUUUAAGAGACGCUUCAACUGACUGAGCUGCAGCCAUGUUUUUAGUGGCUAGGGGAAGGGAAUUAUUCAGAUUUGGAUUGCACUGAUUUAUCCAAAAAAGUUUUACAGCAGCCUGUCAUUGCAGCUACUAUUAGCAGCAGUUCUCAGUACUGUAUAUAAUAGCUUAGAUUCAGAUGAUUCCUUAUUUGUAAAUAACAACUAAACUAUAUUUCAAACCGCUAUAGUCUAUGUAAUACCUAAAUAAACAAUUUAAAACAGGACCUACAGAUAUUAACAACUUAACAGCUCAAAACAUACAGUAAAAUAAAAAUAAUUAAGUUUGUAUUUUUUCUGCUUUAAAUUUAAGUGAUGAUUAUGGUUAUUAUUAUUGACGUUACAGUAUUAGGCGUUAAUCUCAUUUAGGUCAUUAACAAAAUUUUAUUUUCGGUGAUAUUUCCAAAAUAUAUCUUUAAAAAAAAUAUAUUAUCCCCCAUAAAUAGCUAUUUAACACAUCCUCCCACUAUUUUGAUCCAACACUGUACAUCUAUCUUUCUCUUGCGCUGGAGAAAAUGCAGAGAAUUUAGGAGAACUUUAUGAUUCUGCAAACAUUUCCGCCGUUUUGGUUUUAUUGUACAAAUAAUUAUAAUUCCUUUUUUUUGUUUGUUUGCGUUAUCGCGAUAUUUGACAACAGAAAGAACACCAACCGUUCGAUUCAGAAAAGUAACGGAAAAGAAUGUUGUAGCGAUAGAAAUGCUAACUAAAUAAAGUAAAAGUAAAAGCAGAAAUGGUCCGCAAUGAGACAGUUUUAGUGCUUUAAGGGUCAGCUGCUUAUUUUUUAUUUUAUUUUUUUAAACAAUUGAUAAACUCAAGCUGUUUGCUAACUGCUUCCUCUCGGCUCCUACGACGUAGUGGUUCUUCUCGAAGGCUCUUUCCAGACGCAGGAGCUGGGAGGGCGAGAAGGCCGUCCGGAUGCGUUUGGGUUUUCUGGCAAAGGGACCGUGGAGUAGCAGGCUGUCCUGGGACACAUCGUUACCUGACACCGAAUUUAAAGAAACAGCAUGGGCCGUCAGUAGGGCUGGCAGAGUAAAAGGACUGGACCCUUGUGAACUCAACAAUGUCUAGCGAGGACGAAAUCUCCUCAGCUGUGUUUCCUUGGACAGCAGAGGAUCAACUGGGAUCCUGCGGUCGGCCUCAUCAUCAUGUCAAUCUGAAGAUCAAAAGACUCAAGACAGAAACACAGACACAAAUUAAGCUCUCCAGUAAAACUAAGUAAUAUACCACUAACUGCUGUUAAGUAAAGGACGGCCUCAAUAAACCAAAUAAUCCAAAUUCAUUUUAAUUGAUAUAAAACAUCUCAGUCUGUCAACUAAAAUCUUUUAAAAUCAUUAUUAAAUAAUUCUACACAAACUUUCCUUUGUAAUAUAAUAGCCUACUUAUUUGUUUUGAUAUAUGGCUGGUUUGAUUAGACUAUUAGGGUCAGUGAUAAACUAUUAGACAGGGAUCAAUAGAUACAAUUCCGGUCUCUCUUUCUCCUGAUCUUUCUCCAUGAUGUUGAUUAAAAUCAUCAGAUUAAAGCAGACUCCGAGAGGCCAGCUGAAGCUCAGGUUUGCCCUCUCUCCUCCUGCGUUCAUUAAUAAACUAAUUGGCCAUUUUGUUUCGCAUUAGCGUUGUGUGUUCAACUAAUCUAUUCCACUUAAAUACUUGGAAAAUUUCACCCCAUUAUAACGAGAUGGGGAAAGUAGCACGUCGCUGCGUUUGUGCCACCUGCUUGAGAAGUGCGGUCGUUUAGCCACCUGUACGGGGCUCCGCUCCUCCACCGGCUCCCCUCCUCAGCAUAAACAAACAUCCCACUUUUAACACUGCCUGGAGAAAAAACACGUGUUCAUAUCAAGAAAAGGUAUUUAUCUCUGCCUAUUUAGCUUCACCUGCUAUGUUUUUCAUAUCUAAAAGUCGAUUUUAAACCUUGACAAUGGCGUAAACCUGAGCCCAAAAGCGUGUAAUGCGAAUCUUACAACCACUAAAGCCAAUUUACAUCCACAGUGAUAUGGGAACAUUUUGGUGAUGUUAAAUGAGAUAAAAUACCAUUAAAAUAUCACAAACUUAAAGACUAAAGCUGGAAAUGAAUUUUGCAGUGAUUUAUUAGGAGAUGAAAUCUUUGAAAAAUAGGAUAAGUGUAUCUACUGCUGAGUGUCAUAGACCGGCUUUAGUCCUGGCUAGAAUAUUAUAGAGAGAUGAUCCAACAAUUUUCGAUUUUUAUGUUAUUCAUGGGUGGUGGUGUGCGUAAAAGACGCACGUUGGAUAAAUUAGGCGUUAGUUUGGAACCAGCGGUUUCCUGGUGAGAUACAAUUCCAGCCCUCCCAGGCGUCUUUGUCUUUGACCUUUAACUCGCUUCGUGGUGUUCUCUGUCGCUGAACACGAUGUGAACAGGAACUGCUAUUUCCUGGGAGAAAAAGAGUCUGUUCUCCAAACAUCAGGAUGACCGCUGCCCCUCUUGUCAGUGCCCCAGUCAGAAGUCAUUGUGCAUCUCAAAUGCGGCCCUUUCACGACGAGACAAAGGGCAGCUUCUACUUCAAACGCUUGUAAUGAAAGCUAAUGACUAUUAGAUGGAGUAGAAGGGCCCUCGCCUUUGCAAAUAAAAUGCAAAUGGUCAAAUGAAGUGCACUCGGAGCUGGAUGUAUUGCUCUCCAUGAGAACUUUCACACCUUCUCAGAGCUGCAUUACAUCUGAACUGAGUCAUGUGACCAACGGCAUUUAAAUGUAGGGAGGAGAAUGUUUUUAGGGAUGUGUUACAGCUGAGUAAUGUAGACACAUUGAAGAAGCAUCCAUUUCUAAUAAUAAUAUAAAGAGUUCGUUUUGAGUGAUGGAUUCAUCACUAAAUAAAUAGAUGACAGAGAUAAACACAUCCUCAUCAAACUUCAACAUCAAAAGAGGGCUGCAACUAAAUUAUUUUUAUUAUCAGUUAAUCUGCUGAAUUCUAUAAUCUAUAAAUUGUCAGGAAAUUGUGAAAAAUGCCUGUCACAAUUUCCCAGAGCCCAAGGUGACGUCUUCGAAUGGCUUGUUUUGUUCAACCGUUCUAAUCCCAACCAUAAUAAUUACUAUCAUAUAAGACAAAGAAAAGCUCACAUUAGAGAGGCUGAAACCAGUAUUUUUUUUUGCCUUUUUCUUAGAGAAAUGACUUCAACUAUUAAUCGAGUAACCAAAAUUGUUGCAGAUGAAUUUUCAACUAAUCAACUAAUUGUUUGAGCUCUAGAAAAUAAAGUACAAACCAGCAAAGACACAAUAUUGUCUAACAAGACAAUGUGAAUAAACAAAAAACACCUAUUGUCUCUGCCACCAAGACAAUUUGUGUAAAGUGCUGAAGUGCAAAAGGAAUAAGAGCUGAUAAGAGCAACAAGUCACGAGGCAAAUGAAGAUGUAACAGUUGCCUUUCAUAAGGAGCUUCAGUUCAGGCUCUGUAGAGAGUCUUAAGAAACCCAGCCAGCGCUGGCAUGUUUCCAGCAGUAAAGGUGCCCUGUGCUAAUUGGGACGAUGAGCCCGGUGGCCCCCACCCCUUCCCUCCCCAGGACUCUCCAGGUUUUCCCAGGCCUCUCACUGCUUGUUUCUUUCUCUCAAUGGGAUUACGUUGGGCUGUGGAGAGAGAGGAGGGGGAACUCUGAUUCCCGGCUGAUCACAUCAGAAACGGCUCUCGGGGUUUUUACACAAAUUCUGCUCCUUCAGCUGCGCUUCAGCCCUAAUCAGACUGAGCAGGGACACCAGGAGAGAGCAGGCAGGGGGUGGCGGACAAGAGACAUUGCUGUUUAUUAAACUUCUCUCUUUGAUACUGUUACCAGCCGUCUUCUCCCUAUUACAGCACCUCUGCUGCCUACAGUUUUGGUGGGGGUUUUUUUUCACGGUUUCAGGAGUUCAAUUUGUCAGCAAUGGCAGAAGAAAGUGAAAUCAUAUGUCUUUGAUUUAUUUCCAUGCAAAAACACUACAGGCUUACAAAUUUCCCAUAAUACACCAACAUUACAAACAGUUAUUAGUUACGAAUGUAAAAGUCAAAGUUGAUAUGAUCUGACUGAAAUAACUUGCUCUCCAGCUUGAAUUGAUCGGAUUUUGAGUGGAUUUGUCGAGUUGAGUUUGCAGUUGGUCAAGGAACCGUUGUGCACACACACACACAAGUUGCACUUGGGAAAGAGACCCUUAUUCUGAAAUACAUUUUGCACAGGAAAUAAUUGCAUUUAAAAAGCAAUAGAGCAAACGAACGGGGAGGGAGUUGAUUGAGUCAUUCUACAAUAGUAAAUUAGGUUCGUCUGAUUAUAAAGAAUCAACAUGCUAAACUCUGAUAUGUGCAGUAUACGGCCUUAUAAAGGCAGAAAGCAGUAACUACAGAAACAGUGAAAUUGAAAAAAAAGGUAUUAAGUAUGAAGCCAAACUGUGUAAGAAAAUAUAAGGUGUACUAAUUUUAUGCAUUUUUAUGCUGAUUAUUAAUUAAGCUGGCUAUCUGCACUGAUUUCUCAAUUUGAUCCUAUUUUGAUUCACAAAGUCCAGAAUCGAUUUAUUUCUGUUCUUGCAAAUUUAACAUGUUUUUUUUUAACCCCGAAAUCACACAUUUUUAUGGCAUAAUAAUUUCCGUAUGGUAAAAUAUGUCAAAGGGUUCCUAAGAUAAAUCUGAGGAGUCACUAAAUAAUAAAAGAAAGAAAGCAUAUGUUUAUUUUUCUGACAGUUUUAUUUAGUACAUUUUUCUUGUGAAAUACUGAAUGCCUUCAAACAAGCUUCUUAGAAGGAGACAAACUUUUUGGUUGAACUGCUCACAACUCAUGUCCACACUGAAGGCCAUUUGCCUGUGGUUAGGCAUCACAACGAGAUAUUGCUUCAUUUUAAGGGGUCUCGAGCAAAACUGAUAUAGAUGGGUGCUGAAUCCUUAGAAUCAAAAAGUUAUAGCAGGGCAGCACUCAAAUUAUAUGAUUUAUUCAAAGUGCAAGCUAGCAAGUGGUUGCAUGGGUGUUUGGGGCACCUGGAGUGUUGUCCUGUUGAUUAGUCUUCCAUUUCCACUAGUCAGUUAUAAAGACAGCUUAUUACUUACCACAACUGUGGCUAGUUGAUCACAGAUUGUCAAUAUUAGACAUCAGGUUUAUGUAUCUUUUUGAUGUUUCUCAAUUAAUUUACAACGGCCAUGUAUUAUCAAAGGAAAAUGGACACGAGACGGAGAUAUAAAUCUAUGAAUGAGAAGUCUAUAUGAUCUUUUUUGCACAAAAUAUUUAAUGGAGUAUCAUAUUGCAAAAAAAAGAAGAAGUGAGGAUUAAAGAGAUGAAAACCACCGUUCUGUGUUCCCAUCAGCUUUCUUUGUUUAAUAUGACCAAGUUAACCACAGGACAGGACUUUCAGGUUGACCACCCCAAUUAGCUGCUCUGAUGGACUCAUUUGCUACAUCCCAAUCCAUUCUACACGCUGUCUUCUCUCCUGUUUUAUCCCUCAUGUCUGCCAGGCAGGCUUCAGCGGACAGCAUGAGUCCCUUUCCACCUGGAAGGAAAGACGUCGAGUCUGAAUAGAGCGGAGACAGGACACCUGCCGGCGGUGGGUGGGCAUGUGGGAGCCCUGUCCAUUGAGAAGCAGUGAGAACAGGCCUAGUGACCGUUUAAACAGCUUAAACAGUGAGACCCAGCUCUCUAGCCCCGAGACAGACUGACCCCUACCACCCCGGGUUACAGAUAUCCCAGCUAAUCCCUCAGCUGGUUAUUUAUUUGCUUAGCUUAAAUCAGAGGGGAACCCAAGUCCGUCCCAGACUUCAAGCAUAAACUGACUUAGAUCAAACCCGGGAGGAAAUGUCUUGCCAUGUCUCCAUCAUCUUCAAACUGGGCACAGAGUGAGAUUAGAGGAGCAAUAAGGCGAGGUCAAAGGGUAUGGUGAUGAUUUGAUUGGGAUACAUUAGAGAGGAGACAGGUCUUCUCUCUUUAGCUAAAUCAGUUUCUGAGACUGAUGUGCAGAUCAGAACAAAACUGUUUAUAAACAGGCAAGCAUUCAGUUAUAAUUUAAAUCAGGUUUU